UGCAAACAGACAGACUGACUUUCUGAGUGAGUGGGGGUCCCCCUCGGGUUCCUACUCUGGAGAAAUCGGGGUCGCGUUCCGGGGAGGGGGGUCCCCCUCGGGUUAAUUCGCAUGAUUUGCGUGGUGGGUAAACACGCUACGCUUCUAACAGAGAAUUUCGUUCAAUUCACUGGGACUUUCCGUCUGACAUUUCAGCAUUUCCGGCUGACAUUUGAGGGUGAGUAAUGUGUGACGCUGACUGACCCAAUAAAAGCUUUAGGACGUUCAUCUCUUCUUUCACAGCAUUACAGCCAACGUGGUGUUGAAUUCAAGACUGAAAUUAAAUUCUGUCUUGAAUGUGGCCAUGACAAUCAUCCGGCAGGACGCUCUUCUUCUGAAGUCCACUCACAGGAGCGAUAAAACAACCUCUCUACACCAGAAGAGAAGUCUUCUAAGGGAGCUGCUGACAGAGAUGUAGGGAACACUGCGUUGUGGCUGGAUUAUUGCCUGACUGAUUGUCACAGUCGAAAAUAAUGAACGUUGGAGGUAUUGUGUUUAAUAUAAAGUACGCUUUUAUGUUUUUAAAUUAUGUGUAGUAUUUAUUGCAAGUGUGUUUUAAAUUAUUGAUGUGUUUUAUAUUGUAAAUGUCUUUGCUGUAAUAGGCUGGGUUUUCCCUUUCAAGGAUGCACGGUUACCAUUUACUUCAGAUCUAAUACUCUUGUUAUUGCCUUCUAUUUCUUUUGUUGUGAGAAUGUGAGACCCAGACUGGCAGAGGAGAGAUUAGGCCCCGAAGAACCUGGGUUAAUAGUGAUUCUGUUAUGAUUCUGACUUGUGUUUGUCACUUGCAUUACCCACUGUUAAUUAAUUUUUUUUUUUUUUGCAAUCUUGAACAGAUCUCAUGCCUUUUCAAGUUAUUACAUUUUGGUGACAAGGAUAAGUGAAGGGAAUACUUUGAGGACGAAACAAGUUUUUUUUUUUUUUUUUUGGAAGGUGAAAAGGCUGGAUCUCUAUGAGUUGGAGCUUUGGAAAAGAAGAUGGCCAAUCUGGUAGGAACACCAUUUGAUCGUCAGUCCCAGUCUUGGGAAGAAUAUUGUGAAAUAUUGCAACAUUUCUUUGAGGCAAAUGAGAUUACUGAAAUAGCCAAGCAGAACGUUAUAUUGUUGAGGUCUGUGGGAAGUCAAACAUACAGUCUACUGAGAAAUGUAUUAAGCCUGGUUAAAUCAGGCAGAAAGAUGUUUGAUGAAUUAGUGGACUUGCUUAAAGAGCAUUUCAACCCAAAGCCCAGUGAAAUUGUACAACGAUUUAAAUUCAAUUCAAGAUCAAGAGAAGAGGGGGAACUGUGCUUGAUUAUGUAGCAGUAUUGAGGAAAUUGGCUCAUGAUUGUAAUUCUGGAGAAAAAUUGACAGAAAUGCUUCGGGAUGGACUGGCAUGCGGCAUAAAUGAUGACCGUAUUCAACGUAGACUAUUGGCAGAAACAGAUUUAACAUUUGAGAAGGCAUUAAAAAUAGCCCAAGCAAUGGAAACGUUUGCAACAUUUGGCUAACAAAUGUAGAUUUGCUUCUGAGAAAUGUCAUAAAUGUGGGAAACAAGGACACAUAAUGAAAGUAUGUAGAUCAAAAACUUCCCUUGGGGAACCCAAUUUUCAAGGGGGUGGAAGACGUAAGAGAGAAGGACAGAGAAUGCAUUAUGUGAGCAGAGAUAAAAAAAAAGUGCAUCUGCAUCUGAUGAAGAAGGUAUUCAUGCAGUGUACAGUUUGCAAGAAACAGAAAUUUUGAAAGUGGCUGUCAAUGAGUCAAAUGCACAGUUUGAAGUGGAUACAGGAUGUGGUGUGACAUUAAUGAAUAGGUCCAACUUUGCCAAAUUGUGGGAAAAAGAUCAAAUUCCUGAAUUAAAGGCUUGUUCUUUGAAUUUAAAGACCUAUACUGGAUCUAAAGACCUAUACCAAGAUCUAACUGUGUUGGGUUCUGCACAAGUAGAAGUCAGAUACAAAGGCACAGUGAAGAAGUUACCAGUAGUGAUAGUACCCGAAGCAGGACCCAAUUUAUUGGGCAGAAUGGGAGGCCCUACAUUGGAUGCAAGGGGUGAAAAAUUGUAUUUUGCCUGAAGUUCUCAGCCAACAUGAAGAAUUGUUUAAAGAGGAGUUGGGGGAAUUGAAGGGAAGAUUUAUGUAGAUAAGGAAGCAGUCCCACGGUUUUUCAAAGGUAGGCAAAGGUAGAAGUGGAAAUAGAACGCUUGUUAAAGGGAUAGUUCACCAAAAAAUGAAACUUGAUGUUUAUCUGCUUACCCCCAGGGCAUCCAAGAUGUAGGUGCCCUGAGUGCGUGCACAGCAUCCGGUGCGUGGCAUCUGUAUGUGCUCUGCACGCGCUCAGGGCAGUUGGACAUAGUGGUUUAUUAGAGGUAAAAAAUAAUAAAAAUACUGUUCAGUUUCUCGCACAAACCGAUUGUUUCGUGUCUUAGGACAUCAAUGUAUCGUCACGAGCAGCAGGGUUUAAUUUGGAUUUGUCAGUGCAUGUUUAUUUUUACUCUCAAAGAUUGUGUGCCCAUUGACCUGCAUUAUAGGACUGACAGACGGUUUGAGUUAAAAACCUUCGUUUGUGUUCUACUGAAGAAACAAAGUCACCUACAUCUUGGAUGCCCUGGGGGUAAGCAGAUAAACAACACAUUUUCAUUUUUGGGUGAACUAUCCCUUUAAGAGAAAACAUCGUAGAACCUGUUAAACACUCUGAAUCGGCUGCACCAGCAAGUACCUGUUCUAAAGUCUGAUAUUAUGGUACGUUUAUGUGGUGACUACAAACUAACAGUAAACAUAGUUUCGAAGUUGGAACAGUACCCCAUUCCUCAGAUAGAGGAUUUGUUUGCAACUUUGUCAUGGGGACAGAAGUUCAUAAAAUUGGAUAUGAGCCAUGCUUAUCACCAGAUUGCAUUAGAUUCAGAGUCCAGGAAAUAUGUCACAGUGAAUACCCACAAAGGGCUGUUUUACCUUUUGGAGUCUCUUCUAGCCCCGCCAUCUUCCAACGGACCAUUGAGGGGGUACUGCAGGGUCUUCCACAUGUGGCAGUUUUCCUUGAUGAUAUCCUGGUAACCGGUCGUAAUGAUGAAGAGCAUCUCCAAACUCUUGCUGGAGUAUUGGAUAGAUUGCAGGAAGCGGUUGAAACGGAGUAAAUGUACCUUCAUGGAAAAAGAGGUAAUGUCCUUAGGUCAUAAAGUGGAUGAGACAGGCCUCCAUCUCGCACCAGAAAAGUUGACAGCUAUUCAAAAUGCACCCUCGCCAAAGAAUGUGACAAAAUUGGAAUUGACCUGAUAAACCAUGGCAACGAUUGCAUGUGGAUUAUGCAGGACCGUUUAUGGGAAAAAUGUUUUUUGCUUUCAUUGAUGCACAUUCAAAAUGGAUGGACGUGUGUCCAGUGAAUUCAGCCACAUCUGCUUCCACUAUUGAAUGUUUGCGGAAUAGCUUCAGUAACCAUGGAUUACCCGAACUGAUUGUAUCAGUUAAUGGUGCUUGCUUUAUUAAUGUCGAAUUCAAAGAGUUCCUGAAUAAAAAUGUACGGCAUGUUACUUCUGCACCUUACCAUGCUUCUAGUAAUGGUUUAGUGCAACGGGCUGUCCAAACUGAUAAAACCAUGCUAAAAAAAAGUGUUGAUGGAACAAAUGCAACUAAAUUGUCUUGAGUUUUAUUCAGUUACAGGAUCACUCCCCAGACCACUACAGGGCUCUCUUCAGCUGAAAUAUUAUAUGGACAGAAGUUAUGUUGGACUUAUACUUCCUGAUUUGACAAGGAAGAUUCAUGAACAACAUCAAAAGCAAAAGGUCCAUCAUGAUAAAAAGGCUCAUGGAAAGAGUUUUUGUGUUGGAGAUCCAGUACUUACUCUGAACUUCACUUAUGGACCUAAAUGGAUUCCGGUGCAUAUAGCGACUGUGACUGGACCACUUUCUUAUAAAGUAAUGCUGGGCGAUGGGCGAGUGGUUCGACGACAUGUGGAUCAGAUUCAUGGCUGACAGAAAUUGCUUGUGAACACUUUAGAGGAAGGAAUGGAUUGUAAAUUCCCUGAUUUCGACAUUUCUGGAAACUCGACACAUAUUUGGCUACAGAGACUGAGAAAACGGGGACUGAGGACAUUUCUAGUAAAACUCUGAAGUACCUGGGGAUUUCUCUCAACAUUCUGAGACAUUCACUGAAAUGAACAAACCUGCUAGUCCUGUUGUAAUUAUGAGACGGUCACAAAGAACCAAGAAGUUGCCUACUCAUUUGAAAGAUUAUGAACUGAAGUAAUAUGGAAUGUGAAUUGAAGAUUGAAAAAAAAAAAAAAAAAAGAGAAUAAAUGAAUUGUAAAUGGUGAGGCUAUUUUUUGAUUUAUGUAAUUGUGAUGAUAUUUGUAAUGGUAUUGUAGUUAUAUGUUUGUGGAGAGAAUAGCAUUGUGAUUAUGUAAGCUUGGGGGGGAAAGAGAUGUUGUAGAGUGACAAUGAAGCGUCAGUUGUUGAGAUGACCUGAAGAGAGCAGGCUAACUUUGUUUUGCUUAAAAAGCAGCAGAGAAGAACUUAGUGUGUGCGCAAAUUGACUCCACCUGUGAUGUGAUUGAGUGUACUGCUUGUUGAUGCAUUCUGCUGAGUAAAAUGCAAUAUUGAACAGA